AUGAACGCUGGCGGCGUGCCUAAUACAUGCAAGUCGAGCGAACGGACGAGAAGCUUGCUUCUCUGAUGUUAGCGGCGGACGGGUGAGUAACACGUGGAUAACCUACCUAUAAGACUGGGAUAACUUCGGGAAACCGGAGCUAAUACCGGAUAAUAUUUUGAACCGCAUGGUUCAAAAGUGAAAGACGGUCUUGCUGUCACUUAUAGAUGGAUCCGCGCUGCAUUAGCUAGUUGGUAAGGUAACGGCUUACCAAGGCAACGAUGCAUAGCCGACCUGAGAGGGUGAUCGGCCACACUGGAACUGAGACACGGUCCAGACUCCUACGGGAGGCAGCAGUAGGGAAUCUUCCGCAAUGGGCGAAAGCCUGACGGAGCAACGCCGCGUGAGUGAUGAAGGUCUUCGGAUCGUAAAACUCUGUUAUUAGGGAAGAACAUAUGUGUGAGUAACUGUGCAUAUCUUGACGGUACCUAAUCAGAAAGCCACGGCUAACUACGUG
rnacentral:rRNA from 1 species